rnacentral:misc_RNA from 1 species
ACCAAUACGCCUCUCACCUAAAGCAUGCCUCAGGCAUGCCUUUCACAACUAUGGGCCUUACAAUAGUUUAAAAAAAAUAAAUAUAAAUUUGUGAAAAAAGAUAUGAAAUCCAAAAACAUUCAGAACGAAGCUUUGUACGUGCAUGUAUGAGAUAGAGACAAUCAUGGAUAACAUUGCCAUGUCAAGAGAAAACAGAAGGAAAUGAAGAAAUAUAACUAAGUAAAUCAACAGGAAACUUACCUCAGCACAAAUUCUUCCAACA